GAUGAACGCUGGCGGCGUGCCUAAUACAUGCAAGUCGAACGAAACUUCUUUAUCACCGAGUGCUUGCACUCACCGAUAAAGAGUUGAGUGGCGAACGGGUGAGUAACACGUGGGCAACCUGCCCAAAAGAGGGGGAUAACACUUGGAAACAGGUGCUAAUACCGCAUAACCAUAGUUACCGCAUGGUACCUAUGUAAAAGGUGGCUAUACUACCGCUCUUGGAUGGGCCCGCGGCGCAUUAGGUAGUUGGUAGGGUAAAGGCUUACCAAGGCAAUGAUGCGUAGACGAAUUGAGAGGGUGGUCGGCCACAUUGGGACUGAGACACGGCCCAAACUCCUACGGGAGGCAGCAGUAGGGAAUCUUCCACAAUGGGCGAAAGCCUGAUGGAGCAACGCCGCGUGGGUGAAGAAGGUCUUCGGAUCGUAAAACCCUGUUGUUAGAGAAGAAAGUGCGUGAGAGUAACUGUUCACGUAUCGACGGUAUCUAACCAGAAAGCCACGGCUAACUACGUG
rnacentral:rRNA from 1 species